GGCCAAGUUUUUAAGGGCGCACGGUGGAUGCCUUGGCACCAGGAACCGAUGAAGGACGUGGGAGGCCACGAUAGUCCCCGGGGAGCCGUCAACCAGGCUUUGAUCCGGGGGUUUCCGAAUGGGGAAACCCGGCAGUCGUCAUGGGCUGUCACCCAUGCCUGAACACAUAGGGCAUGUGGAGGGAACGAGGGGAAGUGAAACAUCUCAGUACCCUCAGGAAGAGAAAACAACCGUGAUUCCGGGAGUAGUGGCGAGCGAAACCGGAUGAGGCCAAACCGUAUGCGUGUGAGACCCGGCAGGGGUUGCGCAUGCGGGGUUGUGGGAUCUCU
rnacentral:ncRNA from 1 species